rnacentral:lncRNA from 1 species
UAUAUAUAUAUAUGUGUGUGUGUGUGUGUAAAACGACUAGAAUGACAUGUAGAAUCACAUGGUCCACUUUAUUUUUCUAUUUAACAAAUAUAAAAUAUGUUUAAUUCAGAUCUGGACCAAUUUCAAAUUAACAUAUGGGGUCAUUCGGAAAUACUAUAAGUUGUUUCCGACCUCAUUUAAAAUGCCUAGAUAGUGUAGUUUCUUUAUGCUUCACCUCUUGUCAUGUUUAACAACAUUUAACAUUAUCGUGUAUCUAAACGGGAGUGAACUAAGUAAUCCAAAUGUGGAGUUUCGUCAAUAUGCAACUCGUUGCAUAUUGAGCUUCACUUAAUGUGUAGAAGUUAAUUGUUAUGUUGUGUCAUGCCUUGCAAUACGAAAAUAGACAUGCAUCAUAUUUGAUUGUACAACAUGUCAUGAAUAUCUUGUUGUAUUACUAUGUGUUGAUUUUUUGUUUCUGGUUUGUUUCUUCUCGAUAGAGUUCCAAAACCGCUAUCCUUUGUUUCUGGCUCUGCAAAACCCUAAGGAUUUGAACACAGGGGCGUGUACGACGAUCUCUCCCGGCUCAACCUUACCUAGCCCACUACUCGAUGGACACGACGAAGAACUCACUGAUGGUGAGGGUAUCACAGAUAACAACUGCUGGGAACGUUGCAUGGGAAACAAAAAAAUUGCUACGCACACAAAGACCUAUCAUGGUGAUGUCCAUCUACGAAUGGAGAUUAGAUCUACGUGCCCUUCUAGAUCGCUCAGCGGGAAGCGUUAAGAAACACGGUUUAUGU